rnacentral:rRNA from 1 species
CCUACGGGUGGCAGCAGUGAGGAAUAUUGGUCAAUGGACGAGAGUCUGAACCAGCCAAGUAGCGUGAAGGAUGACUGCCCUAUGGGUUGUAAACUUCUUUUAUAUGGGAAUAAAAUGUUCCACGUGUGGGCUUUUGUAUGUACCAUAUUAAUAAGGAUCGGCUAACUCCGUGCCAGCAGCCGCGGUAAUACGGAGGAUCCGAGCGUUAUCCGGAUUUAUUGGGUUUAAAGGGAGCGUAGGUGGAUUGUUAAGUCAGUUGUGAAAGUUUUCGGCUCAACCGUAAAAUUGCAGUUGAAACUGGCAGUCUUGAGUACAGUAGAGGUGGGCGGAAUUCGUGGUGUAGCGGUGAAAUGCUUAGAUAUCACGAAGAACUCCGAUUGCGAAGGCAGCUCACUGGACUGCAACUGACACUGAGGCUCGAAAGUGUGGGUAUCAAACAGGAUUAGAUACCCUUGUAGUC